CCUACGGGGGGCAGCAGUGGGGAAUAUUGGACAAUGGGGGGAACCCUGAUCCAGCGACGCCGCGUGAGUGAAGCAGUAUUUCGGUAUGUUAAGCUCUAUCAGCCGGGAAGAAAGAAAUGACGGUACCUGACUAAGAAGACACGGCUAACUACGUGCCAGCAGCCGCGGUAAUACGUAGGGGGCAAGCGUUAUCCGGAUUUACUGGGUGUAAAGGGUGCGUAGACGGCGAUGCAAGUCUGAAGUGAAAGGCGGGGGCCCAACCCCCGGACUGCUUUGGAAACUGUAUGGCUGGAGUGCAGGGGAAGUAAGUGGAAUUCCUAGUGUAGCGGUGAAAUGCGUAGAUAUUAGGAGGAACACCAGUGGCGAAGGCGGCUUACUGGACUGUAACUAACGUUGAGGCUCGAAAGCGUGGGGAGCAAACAGGAUUAGAUACCCGUGUAGUC
rnacentral:rRNA from 1 species